AGAGUUGAUCCUGGCUCAGGAUGAACGCUAGCGACAGGCUUAACACAUGCAAGUCGAGGGGCAUCACGGGAGUAGCAAUACAACUGGUGGCGACCGGCGCACGGGUGAGUAACGCGUAUGCAACCUACCUAUCAGAGGGGAAUAACCCGGCGAAAGUCGGACUAAUACCGCAUAAAACAGGGGCACCGCAUGGUGAUAUUUGUUAAAGAAAUUCGCUGAUAGAUGGGCAUGCGUUCCAUUAGGUAGUUGGCGAGGUAACGGCUCACCAAGCCGACGAUGGAUAGGGGAACUGAGAGGUUGGUCCCCCACACUGGUACUGAGACACGGACCAGACUCCUACGGGAGGCAGCAGUGAGGAAUAUUGGUCAAUGGGCGGGAGCCUGAACCAGCCAAGUCGCGUGAAGGAAGAAGGAUCUAUGGUUCGUAAACUUCUUUUGCAGGGGAAUAAAGUGCAGGACGUGUCCUGUUUUGUAUGUACCCUGAGAAUAAGGAUCGGCUAACUCCGUGCCAGCCGCCGC
rnacentral:rRNA from 1 species